rnacentral:rRNA from 1 species
GUGGGGAAUCUUGCGCAAUGGGCGAAAGCCUGACGCAGCCAUGCCGCGUGAAUGAUGAAGGUCUUAGGAUUGUAAAAUUCUUUCACCGGGGACGAUAAUGACGGUACCCGGAGAAGAAGCUCCGGCUAACUUCGUGCCAGCAGCCGCGGUAAUACGAAGGGGGCUAGCGUUGCUCGGAAUUACUGGGCGUAAAGGGCGCGUAGGCGGACAGUUUAGUCAGAGGUGAAAGCCCAGGGCUCAACCUUGGAAUUGCCUUUGAUACUGGCUGUCUUGAGUUUGGGAGAGGUGAGUGGAACUCCGAGUGUAGAGGUGAAAUUCGUAGAUAUUCGGAAGAACACCAGUGGCGAAGGCGACUCACUGGCCCAAUACUGACGCUGAGGCGCGAAAGCGUGGGGAGCAAACAGGAUUAGAUACCCGAGUAGUCC